UGUCUUCCGCAUUGCCUUGAGUGCUUCUGGAAUCUCAAGGAAACUCCGUUUGGCGGUAUGGAACUCCCUCCGAAUCUUGUCAUUGUUUUUAUGCAUUUGCCAUUGUUCUUGAGUGCUUCAGAAUUUUCAUUAACAAAUCAACCAAAGCACCAUUAACUAUUAAAAGAACAGUAAACAAUAAAGGAGACAUAUUUACAUUUCAACCCCAUUAACUAUAUAAACUUAUAUCAUCAUCAUCCUCUAUCUUUUUUAUUUUCAUCUUAUCUUGGUCCAGAUAGCUCCAUGGCAUAGUAAUCCAAAGAAUAUUCAUCAUCAUCGUCCUCGUCCAUUCCUGUUCUGAACACGCUGCUCGAUUGAUCGUGACUUUUGCCAUCAUGUUUCGAUCCAAUGGUAGGGUGUGAGAUAUUUUUGUUACUCAAGUUG
rnacentral:lncRNA from 1 species